CACCAGCCAGAUGGGUCACGGCGGGACAGUCCCGCCCGAGAUCUCGCGAGAUUUUCAGGCCAAUGAAAACCGAAGCGCGGGCCGUGCUGAGCCUGAAGCGCCAUUUUGCGCUGGGGCCGCGUCGGGAGGGAGCGGGCCGGUGUCAGCCUGCGGCCUCGCUAACGGGGGGGGAGCAGAGGCUCCCCGAGGCCGUGCCGUUGGGGGCUUGUUCAGUGGCGUACCGCGCUGAGGCAGGGCGGCCGGGAUGUGGAGACCCCCGGGGUCGGGGCCCGGCUCUGCCCCAGCCGCCCUGAGGGGAGCCCGGCGGAGGGGCCAGGCCGCGCUUCUCUGUGCCCAGUGAUGAGCGGGCCUCCCUCGCUGCGGCGGCGCUCGGCGCCUAGGAGAGCGGGGCCCUGGCAGUCCCUGCGCUAGCUAAGCCCUGAGCCGUUUACCCAGGCGGAAGCCCGGCCGUGGUGACCUUAUUUGUGGCCUGUCCGCGUCUGAUCGUUACAGGGGAUCUGCACCCUGGCAGCCGCUGAAACACCUGGGCUCGGGCCCCUGCCGGCACGUCAGCAGUUACUGACAGGGACUAAGAUUGGUAACGUCUGCAAACGGAUUGGGUCUCGCUUAAACACGGCCACGUCGCCCAAAGCCAUCAGCAUAAUUGGCACGGAGGUAGCCUCAGUGAAGGAAAAAAAGUUGCAUACAUCGAUUGAGAACAAGCUUCAGAUAAACAGCAACAGCGGUUGGGGUUACAGGCACGGGGGUGCAAACUUCCACUGUAAGAGAAAAGCUUAGUGUCCAAGAGGUGGCAACCUCAUGCCAUUCACCCACAGAGUAUCUCCUUCCCCCCCCCCCCGCACAGCCAUCUCAAAAGAGGGGGGAGAACAUCCAUUUAGCUCAGAUAAGAAACUAAAUACAUUACAGAGGUUACAUGCAGUUGGAAGUAUUAAUCUUCGCCACAAGAAAAAGCCCAUCUGUAUAAUGAAAUUCUGAAGUUUUUCUGUUUUAGAGCACUGAUUAAUGCAAGGAUAGGGUAUGUUACCCUCUCACCUGAAGUAAAGGUAAUAUUUCUGCUAGGGAAUUCUGAAUUCUUCAGCAUUUUUUUCCUCAAAACUAGAGAUGAACAUUAAAGGUGGUAGACUGAGGUUUUUGUGACAUUUAAUGUUAAACCAAGACACUCGGAGAUAGCUUUGUUUUUUCAUGGACUUGAUAAGGCAUAAUUCCUGAAAUUAGUAUCAAAAUUGGUAGCAUAUGUUGAGUAUCUGAUGUGUAUGAAAACAUUAGCUUCUCUAUGCACUUUAAUUUGGGUUAACAGUUUUAGAAUAUAACCAACCCUAGAGGCAACUGAAAUAUAGGAUUAACUUUACCAUAGUCUGGCAGGUUAAAUACCAGUAUGUUUAUUAUGAAAGAGAAAAUAGUAUAAGAAGAUAUUUCACAGAUGAGACUGUCUGAGAGAAAAAACUUAGACUUUACCUAGAUUCAGAGUCAUUCAGAUGACCAAAAAAGUCAUACAUUGAGUAUUACACAAUGUCUGCUGCUAGGUGAGAGGGCCAAAUUCCGCUCAUAUAUGGUCAGUGAGGAGUACUCUCAUACAUCAGGCAAACAGAUUUAC